GGGGCUGUAGCUCAAUCUGGGACAUAAGGAAUACAUUAUUUCUUGUGCAGGAAAGAGCACUAGACUGAAGAUCUAGGUGUUCGGGGUUCAAAUCCCCGCAGCCCCA
rnacentral:tRNA from 1 species